UACUGUAGUCUCCCCAUCUGACAACCCUAACAGGCUCCCCAUCUGACAACCCUAAACAGGCUCCCCAUCUGACAACCCUAAACAGUCUCCCCAUCUGACAACCCUAACAGGUACUGUAGGCCCCCCAUCUGACAACCACUAACAGGUACUGUAGUCUCCCCAUCUGACAAACCCUAACAGGUACUGUAGGCCCUCCAUCUGACAACCCUAAACAGGUACUGUACUCUCCAUCUGACAACCCUAACAGGUACUGUAGUCUCCCCAUCUGACAAC